AGAGGACAUUCAUUGCGCCUGUGCGGUUGCGCUAGGCACGCUGGGAAAUGUAGUUUCCAAUUUGCCACUAAUAGGCCUGAGGAAUGGACACAAGAUGGCGCCCGAGCGUCGCAGUUGGUUCAAACGAGCAGUAGUCUCUGCCGACGCUGUUGCUGCGGCCUGACGAGAGGCUGCCCAGGCCUGAAAGGUCGAACUCUUGGAUGCCCUGCCUCUGGGGCGUCUACCUUGCCGAGUAGGGGCCGAAGCCGGAGUUAAGAGGAGGGUUUGAUAUUGCUGUGUUUUUAAACAGCCUAAUGAGGUGUUACCCUGACUCUGGGUAUGGGGUGACCACUGGUGAUCCUGCGUCGGCAUAAGGAGAAGGCUUUGAAGGGUCCUUGUGGAUAAGAGGUUGCUUGGAGAGGCGUCCAUGACUGUAUCCCUGCUUUUUAAGCUGAGCAUGCAGGACGCAGAGCUGCCCGACACUGUUGAUCUCACCAGCCUUCAGCACUAGCUCAGCAAUCUGAUGUGACUCCUGCUUAGCUGCCGGAGGAAAGGCAGCCCCAGAUUUGCUCAGUAAUGGAACUAGCUUCCCUGUAUUCCUCCUUCUGACCUCACGGAAACCACACAGACUGAUUUAAAUGACUCUUAUUCCAGAGAGACUCAGAAGCUGAGCCCUAGCUGUGUGUAAAUGAACUGCGUUGCUUUAAAACAGAAACCAAAGAGACAAGGGGGUGCUUAUGGCUUUCCAGUUUUGAGUACAGGAAAGUGAUGGAGCCAGGGCUGAGGCCCACAGUUCCCCUCCCAGAGAUACCCAGCUCUUCUGGACUUUAGUGUGAGGAUAGGCCUGGGAAUUCCCCCAAGGGUUUGGGAAAGGCACAUUUAUGAAACUGGAUGUACUGUGAUGUUCAUGUCUGGUGUCAGUUCCUCUCAGGACAUUAAGGGAGGCACUGGGCACACUUACCCCUGAUCCGUGUAGUGUGCCAGUGUCACAGGCACAGAGCACAGUCUUGGCACUGGGCACACUUACCCCUGAUCCGUGUAGUGUGUCAAAUGUCACAGGCACAGAGCACAGUCUUGGCACUAGGGUGAAUAGGAUAAUGAUGGGAGCACUAAUUCAAUUAUUUCUUUAUUUUUAAUUUUUUUAGACAAGGUCUUACUGUAUAGCCCUGGGUGUCUUCAACCUCCCCAUGUAGGCCUCAAAUUCAGAGGUCUCUCUCCCUCUCCCUCCAAAGGGUAGGGAAUAAAAAGCCUGUGCCCCUA